UGUGAGUCUGAGGUGUUUAUAUGUAUGUA
rnacentral:piRNA from 1 species